UGCAAGUCGAACGGUAACAUUGGUGCUUGCACCAGAUGACGAGUGGCGCACGGGUGCGUAACGCGUAUGCAAUCCACCUUUUACUGAAGAAUAGCCCAGAGAAAUUUGGAAUAAUCCUUCAUAAUAUCAUUUAUCAGCAUUGAUUUAUGAUUAAAGCUCCGGCGGUAAAAGAUGAGCAUGCGUCCUAUUAGUUUGUUGGUGAGGUAACGGCUCACCAAGACUACGAUAGGUAGGGGCCCUGAGAGGGGGAUCCCCCACACUGGUACUGAGACACGGACCAGACUCCUACGGGAGGCAGCAGUGAGGAAUAUUGGACAAUGGAGGCAACUCUGAUCCAGCCAUGCCGCGUGCAGGAUGACUGCCCUAUGGGUUGUAAACUGCUUUUAUAUAGGAAGAAACACUCCCACGUGUGGUGGCUUGACGGUACUAUAUGAAUAAGGAUCGGCUAAUUCCGUGCCAGCAGCCGCGGUAAUACGGGAGUGGCAAGCGUUAUCCGGAAUUAUUGGGCGUAAAGCGUCCGCAGGCGGCCCUUCAAGUCUGCUGUUAAAACGUGGAGCUUAACUCCAUCAUGGCAGUGGAAACUGUUGGGCUUGAGUGUGGUAGGGGCAGAGGGAAUUCCCGGUGUAGCGGUGAAAUGCGUAGAUAUCGGGAAGAACACCAGUGGCGAAGGCGCUCUGCUGGGCCAUAACUGACGCUCAUGGACGAAAGCCAGGGGAGCGAAAGGGAUUAGAUACCCCUGUAGUCCUGGCCGUAAACGAUGAACACUAGGUGUCGGGGGGAAUCGACCCCCUCGGUGUCGUAGCCAACGCGUUAAGUGUUCCGCCUGGGGAGUACGCACGCAAGUGUGAAACUCAAAGGAAUUGACGGGGGCCUGCACAAGCGGUGGAGUAUGUGGUUUAAUUCGAUGCAACGCGAAGAACCUUACCAGGGUUUGACAUCCUGCGAACCUCUUGGAAACGAGAGGGUG
rnacentral:rRNA from 1 species